rnacentral:rRNA from 1 species
GACGAACCGUGCGAACGUUGUUCGGAAUUACUGGGCGUAAAGCGUGCGUAGACGGUUAUCUAAGUCGGAUGUGAAAGCCCCGGGCUCAACCUGGGAAUUGCAUUCGAGACUGAAUAGCUAGGGUACGGUAGAGGGAAGUGGAAUUUCCGGUGUAGCGGUGAAAUGCGUAGAUAUCGGAAGGAACAUCAGUGGCGAAAGCGACUUCCUGGACCAGUACCGACGUUCAGGCACGAAAGCGUGGGGAGCAAACAGG